rnacentral:rRNA from 1 species
AUUGAACGCUGGCGGCAGGCCUAACACAUGCAAGUCGAGCGAGCGGCGGACGGGUGAGUAAUGUAUGGGGACUGCCCGAUCGAGGGGGGUAAAUACUUGAGACGGUCGAUAAUAACGCAUACGAUCGGAUAACCCAUAUGGGAUUAGCUAGUAGGUGGGGUAAUGGAGCACCAAGGCGACGCACCCUCGCUGGUCUGAGAGGAUGAUCAGCCACACUGGGACUGGGACACGGCCCAGACUCCUACGGAGGCAGCAGUGGGGAAUAUUGCACAAUGGGCGCAAGCCUGAUGCAGCCAUGCCGCGUGUAUGAAGAAGGCCCUAGGGUUGUAAAGUACUUUCAGUCGGGAGGCGUUACCUACAGAAGAAGCACCGGCUAACUCCGUGCCAGCAGCCGCGGUAAUUC